rnacentral:rRNA from 1 species
GUACACUCCUGCGGGAGGCAGCAGUGGGGAAUAUUGGACAAUGGGCGCAAGCCUGAUCCAGCCAUGCCGCGUGAGUGAUGAAGGCCCUAGGGUUGUAAAGCUCUUUCACCGGUGAAGAUAAUGACGGUAACCGGAGAAGAAGCCCCGGCUAACUUCGUGCCAGCAGCCGCGGUAAUACGAAGGGGGCUAGCGUUGUUCGGAUUUACUGGGCGUAAAGCGCACGUAGGCGGACUAUUAAGUCAGGGGUGAAAUCCCGGGGCUCAACCCCGGAACUGCCUUUGAUACUGGUAGUCUUGAGUUCGAGAGAGGUGAGUGGAAUUCCGAGUGUAGAGGUGAAAUUCGUAGAUAUUCGGAGGAACACCAGUGGCGAAGGCGGCUCACUGGCUCGAUACUGACGCUGAGGUGCGAAAGCGUGGGGAGCAAACAGGAUUAGAUAUCCCUGUAGUCCCAUGA